rnacentral:rRNA from 1 species
CCUACGGGUGGCAGCAGUGAGGAAUAUUGGUCAAUGGACGCGAGUCUGAACCAGCCAAGUAGCGUGAAGGAUGACUGCCCUAUGGGUUGUAAACUUCUUUUAUAUGGGAAUAAAAUGUUCCACGUGUGGGAUUUUGUAUGUACCAUAUGAAUAAGGAUCGGCUAACUCCGUGCCAGCAGCCGCGGUAAUAAGGAGGAUCCGAGCGUUAUCCGGAUUUAUUGGGUUUAAAGGGAGCGUAGGUGGCUUGUUAAGUCAGUUGUGAAAGUUUGCGGCUCAACCGUAAAAUUGCAGUUGAAACUGGCAGUCUUGAGUACAGUAGAGGUGGGCGGAAUUCGUGGUGUAGCGGUGAAAUGCUUAGAUAUCACGAAGAACUCCGAUUGCGAAGGCAGUUCACUGGACUGCAACUGACACUGAGGCUCGAAAGUGUGGGUAUCAAACAGGAUUAGAUACCCGAGUAGUC